rnacentral:rRNA from 1 species
UACGGGGGGAGCAAGCGUUGUUCGGAUUUACUGGGCGUAAAGGGCGCGUAGGCGGCGCGGUAAGUCACUUGUGAAAUCUCUGAGCUUAACUCAGAACGGCCAAGUGAUACUGCAGUGCUAGAGUGUGGAAGGGGCAAUCGGAAUUCUUGGUGUAGCGGUGAAAUGCGUAGAUAUCAAGAGGAACACCUGAGGUGAAGACGGGUUGCUGGGCCAACACUGACGCUGAUGCGCGAAAGCCAGGGGAGCAAACGGG